GCUUGAGAAAGGAAUUUCAGUUCAGCCUAAAGUCAUUUUUCUACGCCUAAACUACCAAUUUUCUUUAGAGUAAUUCAAUCAGGGAACAGCCUUAUUGAAUCAGGACACAACCUUAAUCUACGGGUAAACAUACCAAGAUAUUUAAGUGGGCCUAAAAGCAGCCACCUUUCUUAAAGCGUCAAAGCUAAAUCUAUAUUUCUACUAAUACCCUACCCCCCCACGACCCCUACAAUAGUAUCAAGCAUCUCUAUAAAAUAUAGAGGCCCUUAUGUUAAAACUAGUACCAAGAAGCUAGCCCUUCUCUAUAAUGUAAGUAUAAGCCAGCCUGAACCUCAUCACUGGCAAUUAGCAGUCCAAGCUCGAGUAGAACCUUCACCACCCGAAAACUUUACUUUCUCCCCUGUUAACCUGACACUAGAGCAUUACAAGAAAGAUUAAAAGAAAAAGAAGGAACUCGGCAAAUAUUUUUCCCGCCUGUUUACCAAAAACAUCGCCUCUUGAAAACUCAUAAGAGGUCCAGCCUGCCCAGUGACUUAGUUU
rnacentral:rRNA from 1 species